GGGGCCAUAGCUCAAUUGGUAGAGUACUACAAUGGCAUUGUAGAGGUCAGGGGUUCGACCCCCCUUGGCUCCA
rnacentral:tRNA from 1 species